AUAACGUAGAGAGAUGGUCGAGUGAGCAGUUAAUUGUUUCAGAGCUACUGCCGUUGAAGCAUCAUGAAUUUCUCGAUCUACGCCCUGCUGGUGGUGCUGGUGAUCGCCGUCUGUGUCGGCGUCAGCUCCGUCUCGGCCGACUACGGAGACGACGGAUACUACGGCGGAUACGGAUACGGAAGAUAUUACGGACGGGGAUACCGGAGGAGCUACUAUCGCCGCGGACGCUACUACGGAUAAGCGGCCGUAUUACGGAUGAGGACCCGUAUCGAUGGGAUUGUUCUACAGUCUACACUGAGGUGUCUCCGAGCACAUGAAACUCUGGGAAGAGACCCUGGCAUUCAGUUGUCACCAGCGACCACCGUGCAAUAAUAUCAGAGCACAGUGUGCAGUGUGUGAUUGGAAACAUGGCAACGGCAUGCAAUACCUUCCCGCCACGGGUUUCAGAGUUAAUACGGCGCGGAGUUUCAGCAGUGUGUCAUUGGCGAGCCUGAGCUGUAUAUUUAUAUGAAUAUAUUUUAACCGGAAGC